rnacentral:piRNA from 1 species
UUCCCUGGUGCUCUGGACAUUUAAGGUUGA